rnacentral:lncRNA from 1 species
AUAGUAAUGAUGAUGAUGCUUCUAGGACACUGCAAUCUCUCCCUCGUAAGUGAGCACCUCGGAUUUAACUGUCCAGCGUCAUUUGGAGCACAGGGCGGAGGAUUAUACUGAGGAACCACACCCAUGUCAUUUGAAUUGUCCACAAGACCACUAUAAGGACUUUCCAGGACCAUCACAAGUCUGCAAACCACAUUUGAAGAGCUGCUUCUGGGGCAUUCUUUCCAAAGAGCCUUUUAGCAGGGCAGGGAGUGAAAGGCAUUACCAGGUGCUCUGCUGAAACCGGUAGGAUGAACACCUUCCAAACAGGCUGCAUUCCUCCCGAGGAAACUGAAGAGUGUAACCUCACAGUGAAAUUCCUCCCAAGGCUUUGGCUCUGCAGGAAGCUCCUGGCUAUUUUUCAGGAGAUGCGUUUGCUGCAGGAGGAGGUAUGGAAGUUGGGCAAGGCAGGCCUGAUAGGGCUGGCCCAGGCUGUCUCUCUCAGACAAGUCUAGACUCAGGACUGUCAUGCUACCUGGAAAUGAGGUCUG